GUUAACAGGGUGCUCAUGUCUUCACCAUAGAUGAUAGUCUCUACAGGAUCCAUAGUUCCCUGGAAGUCCAGGGAAUAUGGCCUAAGGGUUGAAUAGAGCCAGGAGGGAGUCAUCUUAUAUGCACCACUGAUGGGGAAGGACAGCAGGAAUCCCCAGGACAAUGUUAAAUAGAAGCGGUAAGAG